GCCGUCCACUGGCUGCGCCACUCCCUCUACGAUGUCACCGGCUCCGACUCCAACACGCUCUGGCUCAUCCAGAGGUACUACACUUUUCUUCUCUCUUCCCUUGUCAACUCGGGACCCCCCGGAAUCAUGGCUACUUUACACCCUAUACUUCUCAUUGACAUUGUGACCUAGUAGUAUACUCUAUCUAUGCAUCAUCAUAUCAGUGGUUAGUAGUACUAGCCCUAGAUCACCAUAGGAUGAUUAAGGAGGAGUAAAAAAAGAUUUGCGUUUUGGAGCCCUAAGGCCAGUCACAAUGGGGGUUUCACUGGUGUGUCAUGCACAUUUAAUAGGGGUAAGACUGAAUAAAAAAUGAUUAUUUGCAUGAAAUGGGGAUGAGAGAGAAGGAAAGAGUUUCAUCCUGGUGAAACUCGUCAGCGUCGUUUCCAAGUCCUCGGUAACAGAGUGAAACCCCCGUUGAGGCCGAUUCGUUUCAUUCACCGGAUCUCUUGCGUCCGCCUCCGCCGUGCGACCUCCGCAUUCUCCCGCGCCGCGCCGGAUUUUGGGUACAAAUGAUCCCAGCAACUUGUAUCAAUUAAAUGCUUUGCUUAGUCUUGGAAACGUCAAAGUGAAACCCCUCCACUGUGGGGAUUGUUUCAUAAAAGAUUUCAUUUGAGAGAAGAUGGUAUAAUAUUUUGGGUAGCCGUGCAAUGACACUAGCCAUUGUGACUGGCCUAAAAGUAUGUCAUUAUGGCCAACUUUUUAGGCUUAGAAAGGUUGCAACUUUCUAGUGGUUCUGUGGUAUCAAGCUUCUCCAUGGUCUUUGGUGAUCCGAGAAGUGGGAAAGAUUUCUCCUCCAUUUGGUUUGUGGAUCACUAUGAACGAGCUAAAAGUUCUUAUCAUCAUGACCAACUUUUCAUGCCAAAAGGUCUCAGCUUUCUAGUUCUAAGUGCCACCAAUGUUGAUUAUUAAAUUGAAAUGGCUGCAAUCUAUACACAGUUCAUACUAGAGAUCACAUAGUAGUGGACUGCAAUAGAUAUGUCCCACUGUACUUGCAAAAACCAUGAAGGCAAGGCAACCAAUUUAGGUGUCCUUGAGAACUUAUUGUUAUCAUUUAUAGUUCUAAAUGUUGCUAGUUGAGUCAUUCUUGUCGAACAGAAUCAUAAUUAAUUUGUGUACUGAUCUUGACUCUGUGGACC
rnacentral:lncRNA from 1 species